GGAGAGGUGGCAGAGUGGUCGAAUGUACCUGACUCGAAAUCAGGCGUCCGUGCGAACGGACCGAGGGUUCGAAUCCCUCCCUCUCCUCCA
rnacentral:tRNA from 5 species